rnacentral:rRNA from 1 species
GAUGAACGCUGGCGGCGUGCCUAAUACAUGCAAGUCGAGCGAACAGACGAGGAGCUUGCUCCUCUGACGUUAGCGGCGGACGGGUGAGUAACACGUGGAUAACCUACCUCUAAGACUGGGAUAACUUCGGGAAACCGGAGCUAAUACCGGAUAAUAUAUUGAACCGCAUGGUUCAAUAGUGAAAGACGGUUUUGCUGUCACUUAUAGAUGGAUCCGCGCCGCAUUAGCUAGUUGGUAAGGUAACGGCUUACCAAGGCGACGAUGCGUAGCCGACCUGAGAGGGUGAUCGGCCACACUGGAACUGAGACACGGUCCAGACUCCUACGGGAGGCAGCAGUAGGGAAUCUUCCGCAAAGGGCGGAAGCCUGACGGAGCAACGCCGCGUGAGUGAUGAAGGUCUUCGGAUCGUAAAACUCUGUUAUUAGGGAAGAACAAAUGUGUAAGUAACUAUGCACGUCUUGACGGUACCUAAUCAGAAAGCCACGGCUAACUACGUG